rnacentral:lncRNA from 1 species
CGCCCGCAGAGAGAGUCCCGGAGCCGUAAGGCUAAAUGCGCUGCCGGGCGUGGCUGGGCCUUGAGUAAAUGCUGGAGGGAGCUAACCCGCCUCUCCCUACCGCUGGCGAGGAGACAGCUAUCUCCCCUUGCCGAAACAAUUCAGAGGCGACGCUGUGGAUAAUUCUGGAUGGGGUCUUUAUCAGACUCUCAAUCCACCGGAAAUGGAGAGGACAGAGGAACAUGUUAAAACACAGUGGAGGUCUUGCUAUGUAAUCCAGGUUAGUCUUGAACUCACUAUGUAGCCCAGGCUGGCCUUGAACUCAUAGUCAUCUUCCUGCCUCAGCCUCUUGAGUGCUGGGAUCACAGGUUCUUCAAUUUCUCUGCUUCCUGAAUGCCAUGAAGUGAGCAACUUUUCCUCCAGCAUAACUCUUUGCCAUGACAUUCUGCCUGGAGCCAGCAGACCACGGACUGAAAGAUGAGCUAAAAUAAACCUCUCCUCCUUUAAGUUGUCAGUGGACCCUCAAGUUACAACUGACAUACGAACAACUUGGGUUAAUCAGGUUAAUGGAAGAUUCAUCUGCCUCUUGUUAUCUAUAGCAUGUACCCAGGUAAACAUCCAGAUCUCAGCUGUAUUGACUUACAAUCAACCAGGCCUUGAACGG